rnacentral:rRNA from 1 species
CCUACGGGAGGCAGCAGUGAGGAAUAUUGGUCAAUGGGCGGAAGCCUGAACCAGCCAAGUAGCGUGCAGGAUGACGGCCCUAUGGGUUGUAAACUGCUUUUAUACGGGAAUAACGCGCCUUACGUGUAGGGUUUUGCAUGUACCGCAUGAAUAAGGACCGGCUAAUUCCGUGCCAGCAGCCGCGGUAAUACGGAAGGUCCGGGCGUUAUCCGGAUUUAUUGGGUUUAAAGGGAGCGUAGGCCGCAUGUCAAGCGUGCGGUGAAAUGUCGGGGCUCAACCCGGGCCUUGCAGCGCGAACUGGCGUGCUUGAGUGCGCGGAAGGCAGGCGGAAUUCGUGGUGUAGCGGUGAAAUGCUUAGAUAUGACGAAGAACCCCGAUUGCGAAGGCAGCAUACGGCAGCGGAACUGACGCUGAUGCUCGAAGGCGCGGGUAUCGAACAGGAUUAGAUACCCGGGUAGUC